rnacentral:rRNA from 1 species
UACGAAGGGGGCUAGCGUUGCUCGGAAUCACUGGGCGUAAAGGUGCGUAGGCGGGUCUUUAAGUCAGGGGUGAAAUCCUGGAGCUCAACUCCAGAACUGCCUUUGAUACUGAAGAUCUUGAGUUCGGGAGAGGUGAGUGGAACUGCGAGUGUAGAGGUGAAAUUCGUAGAUAUUCGCAAGAACACCAGUGGCGAAGGCGGCUCACUGGCCCGAUACUGACGCUGAGGCACGAAAGCGUGGGGAGCAAACAGG